rnacentral:lncRNA from 1 species
ACAGGGAGGAGAGGUAACGUCAAAAUAAUCCGUGCACUUUUCAGAUAGCUAAAUGAGUGCUUUCUCUCUGCAGUUAUACACUACAUGCGUCUCUUGAGAAAAAACGGGAGACUGCGAAGGCACUGCAGCCGACGACACGGCGCGCGCUGGGCACCGCUGCAGACAAAACAGCGGACGAAGCGAUCGAUUCACCAGGAGACGACUUUUGUGGCAAUAUUCAUGAUGAGGAUAUCGAAGUGCCAUCCCAGAUCAUUGCUACAAGCAACACAAGAUCGGCAGAAGUCCAGACGGAAGCUGACACGCCUGUGUGCAACUCCUGCCACCGUUUGGAAGAAGAAGUAAAGGGGUUGAAACUGGAAAUCGAAUUUUACACAGGUAUCCCAAAAGAUGUGUUUUUUGGCAUUUUGUCAAGUAUUGUGCCUGUCUUGCCAGUGGCUCGAAAGAAGUUUCCACAUGAGAUACAGCUCCUCACAUUUUUGAUGAAGCUGCGACUCAACGUUUCCUUUAGAGACCUGGCGUAUCGGUUUAGCUAGAUCCAAGGACAGUAAGCCAGAGCUUUUCGGACUGUGCUGAACAGUGUGGGGCAUUUGUGCAAAGAUCUGAUUGUGUUCCCAAGCCGUGAAGUAUGCGAGAGCUGGUUAACGGACAAGGAGCUGAAGCACUUUCCUAGGCUUCGGGCAAUCAUUGACUGCACUGAAGUACACGUGAC